rnacentral:rRNA from 1 species
GCGGAAGGUCAUUACCGAGUGAGGGCCCUCUGGGUCCAACCUCCCACCCGUGUUUAUUUUACCUUGUUGCUUCGGCGAGCCUGCCUUUUGGCUGCCGGGGGACGUCUGUCCCCGGGUCCGCGCUCGCCGAAGACACCUUAGAACUCUGUCUGAAGAUUGUAGUCUGAGAUUAAAUAUAAAUUAUUUAAAACUUUCAACAACGGAUCUCUUGGUUCCGGCAUCGAUGAAGAACGCAGCGAAAUGCGAUACGUAAUGUGAAUUGCAGAAUUCAGUGAAUCAUCGAGUCUUUGAACGCACAUUGCGCCCUCUGGUAUUCCGGAGGGCAUGCCUGUCCGAGCGUCAUUGCUGCCCUCAAGCACGGCUUGUGUGUUGGGCUCCGUCCUCCUUCCGGGGGACGGGCCCGAAAGGCAGCGGCGGCACCGCGUCCGGUCCUCAAGCGUAUGGGGCUUUGUCACCCGCUUUGUAGGACUGGCCGGCGCCUGCCGAUCAACCAAACUUUUUUCCAGGUUGACCUCGGAUCAGGUAGGGAUACCCGCUGAACUUAAGCAUAUCAAUAAGCGGAGGAAAAGAAACCAACAGGGAUUGCCCCAGUAACGGCGAGUGAAGCGGCAAGAGCUCAAAUUUGAAAGCUGGCUCCUUCGGGGUCCGCAUUGUAAUUUGCAGAGGAUGCUUCGGGAGCGGUCCCCAUCUAAGUGCCCUGGAACGGGACGUCAUAGAGGGUGAGAAUCCCGUAUGGGGAUGGGGUGUCCGCGCCCGUGUGAAGCUCCUUCGACGAGUCGAGU